rnacentral:lncRNA from 1 species
GGGAACCUUCUCUCCACCAGCAUUUACAGCCAUAUUUGCAAUUUUGUGACAUCACCAGGGAAAAAUAAAACGAUACAGAGAAGAGUCUUUCGGUUUUUGCGUUCAGCUGUAAAUAUCAGCUAACCAGGUAACUGUGCAUCUCUCUGGAGUUGAUGCUCAAAACCACGCCUGAGUGAUUGCCUCUUGCGUUACCUAGCGUUUGAGAGUCCAGAUCAUCAUCAAUAAACUCCUCACCCUGGAUGAUGUUCUGGGUGUCCUCACUAUGAUUAACAGGGCUUGUCAUCUCUUGCUCUUUUUCAUUGUGCAUCUGGGCAUAGACAUUCCUGCCUGGUAGUUUCCUUUUGAACUUGUAGAGGAUGAAAGCUCCAACUGCGACUAGACAGAUAACAAAGAGAACCACAAUAGCCCAGUAGCCACUGCCUCCUCCAAUUCUUUGAGAGUCUGAAUCAGAGUCUGCUAAUGUCACUAAGACCCAGUAUCCUCCCCGC